rnacentral:rRNA from 1 species
UACGGAGGGUGCAAGCGUUGUCCGGAAUCACUGGGCGUAAAGGGCGCGUAGGCGGCUCAUGAAGGCUGUGGUGAAAGUCCGGGGCUCAACCUCGGAUCGGCCGUGGCGACUCGUGGGCUGGAGCACUGUAGAGGCGGGUGGAAUUCCGGGUGUAGCGGUGGAAUGCGUAGAUAUCAGGAGGAACACCGAUGGCGAAGGCAGUUCUCUGGGCCGUAACUGACGCUGAGGAGCGAAAGCGUGGGGAGCGAACAGG